GCUGACGUAGCUCAAUUGGUAGAGCAGCUGAUUUGUAAUCAGCAGGUUGCGGGUUCAAGUCCCACCGUCAGCUCCA
rnacentral:tRNA from 1 species